rnacentral:rRNA from 1 species
AGUAAUGUAUGGGGAUCUGCCCGAUAGAGGGGGAUAACUACUGGAAACGGUGGCUAAUACCGCAUAAUGUCUACGGACCAAAGCAGGGGCUCUUCGGACCUUGCACUAUCGGAUGAACCCAUAUGGGAUUAGCUAGUAGGUGGGGUAAAGGCUCACCUAGGCGACGAUCUCUAGCUGGUCUUAGAGGAUGAUCAGCCACACUGGGACUGAGACACGGCCCAG